rnacentral:piRNA from 1 species
UUUGUGUCAACUUGACACAGC